rnacentral:lncRNA from 1 species
UACCUCGGUGCUGCGCGGGGAAGACGAAGAAAGCAAUGAAAGACAAUCAUUUGCACGGGCAAGAUGUAAAAGAUUGCUAGAGGAGGGGGAACAAAUAUCCUCUAAGCUCUCUUUCUCUUGUAAGGUAGAAUAAAUUGCUCUCCAAAGUUGAUUAAUAACCCACUUAAGGUGGAUUUAAAUAGGCUUUGAGAGAAAUUUAUUUCCCUUUCCUAGAACGAUCUAAUUUCCUAUUAAAGAGGAUAUUAACAUCAAAAUAGGAAACAAUCUAAUGUUUCUUCAAGCAAGAAGAUCUCUACACCUGCUGCCCUUUCCUACGAGCAGCCCAACAGGUGUGGAGGCAUUUGUGGAGCCAAAAAUAAUCACAAGGCGACAUGUGGAUUUUUGGACAAAAGAAGACAAAAAUACCCUUGAGGUACAACUGGAUUCCUACGCGCGAGCAGCGGGCAAUCAUCCUUUAACCAAAUCAAAAAUACCCAAAAUAGGUAACAAUUCAAAACUUAUCUCAUCAAAUCCCUUCUACAGGGUAACUCCCAAAACCUAUUUCAUUCCAUAUAUUUUUUUACCUCUUUCUCCCUUUUUUAGCUAAUCAAUUAGCUAUUUAUUUUAAUGAUUCCAUAACCUUCAAAACAUUCCAUAUAAAUUGAGUUAAUUGGCUAAUUAAUGGAUUUAUUCCUAAUUAAUCCAUUAAUUACCAAUUAAAUCACCCAUUAACCACAAAAUACACUAAAAAAACAUCCAAAAAAACCGGCCACCUUUUCUCCAAAGGGGACCGGCCAUGCCCUAUAUAAACUAUCCUAUUUUCUCUAAAAGCCUAAGUCCACACUCUUGCAAAACUCCAAAAACUUUCUAAACACUUCUCUCUAAAUUCUAACUUUGGCAUCGGAGGUUCUUCGGCCAAAGCCCCCCCCAUUCAUCGUGGGUGCAUGAGGCUCUUGGCCUUGACCCUAAGGUGUUAAUUGUUUUGUAGGUGCAAUUUUUUCCAAGAAGAAGGAGAUGGAAAUUUGCAUCCACAAUCAUCCUGGUUGAACAAUGGUUUUUGUCUAUACCCAAGCGCUUUUGUUAAAAGUACUUUUAGUAGUUUGAAAAUUAGUCUAAAAAAAUUAGUUUAUUUUGCAUUACUCUUUAAUUAAGGGAUUAAGAAAAUCACUUGAUAUUGUAAUAAGUAUCUAACAAGUGCUUCUCGAUAGCCAAAAACAUUGGAGAAAUUUUUCCGAUACACCAUAUCUCAUUAUAAAGAGUUUUUAUUUUUCAAAUGUCAAAUGUUAAUUUGAAGACUUAUGUGACAAUAUCAAUUUUUUUUCAAAUACUAAACGUAAAACUUGAUUUUAUAAAGAAAUAUUAAAAAGUAAAAUUACUUUAGUCUAAAGUAGAAAAUUCAAUUGCAGUGUUCAACUAAAUAGUGUUUUGUGAUGCUCUAAGUGACAUUCACUAGUAGAUUUGACUCAUUGGUUGGAGAUGCUUUAAGUCUUUUUUUGUCGAAUGCAUCAUAAUUGUUUACGGCUACCAAACAUUACUUUGACUCAGUUUCUCAAAAAAAAAAAAAAACAUUACUUUGACUCCUGGAAGUAAUCCCAAAUAUGUGGAUGAGCCCCGGAAUGCCGAUCUCAUUCAAUAUUGAGAAAAUGCACCAUUAGACUAACUACUUAUGUCUACCAAUUUUUCAAUUUCACUUUGUUGUUUGAAAGAUGUAGAACAAUUUUUAUUGUUCUAGUGUCGCAAAUUCGUUCCAUCGUGUAUGCAGAGCCAUCAGAACUUUAAAUGAUAAACAAGUGCAUGAAAAUUUUUGUCCAAAAACAUUUACAAAGUGUCAUCAUUUAACUUAAAUGUGGAAGUUUCUCACCAAAACGUGAAUAUGGACUAUUUCAUAUAGAGUUCAUAUAGUGUAUCAACGUAUUAAACUAGGAUUGUUAAUGAUAAAAAGACUAUCUAUUAUUGCAACUUGACUUCAACAAUCGAUAGGUAAUGAAUUUUUAUUUUCCUAUUGUUUGAUUCUUAAAAUAUUUCUUACUAACCUUAAAAGUCGUUAGGAUUACAUCUAACAUCUUCUGUUGAUGCACAAAAUCAGUGAGGACUUUGGUACAAUAGAAAGUGUUAAGUUUGUGACAUUCGCUAAAUUGUUCCGGUCACUAGUGUGGAUAAGUAUGUAAAUGGAUAGGGACAGGGAAGCAAACACAAGAUGCACAUGGUUCACCCAGAUUAGCUACGUCCACGGAGUAGAGGAGUUCUCAUUAAUUGUGAAGGGUUUACACAAAUACAUAGAUUCAAACUCUCCUUUAGUGAGUACUAGUGAAUGAUUUAGUACAAAUGACAUUAGGAAAUAAUGUGAGAGAAUGAUCUCUAUUUAUAAAAGAGAGUUUCUAGUUUCAUUCUGACAUUGACAUGUGUCGUGUUGUGAUUGACUUCUGAUGUUGACACGUGUCGCGCUAUGAUUGGCUUCUGAUGUCGACACGUGUCGCGCUGUGAUUGGCCUCAUGGUUGGAGGGAAACUCUUAUGGGUCCUUGACGGUAUAACAUUGACCGAUGCUCACUAGUUUCGGGAUUGGUCAAGUAUGGUACAAACAGUGCUCCCCUAAGUUCCCGAGUGAGGGAAGCUCCUCGGUUAGGGACUUGCAAGAUCCAAGCCAUUGAGUAAUCACAAGGCGACACAUGGAUUCUUGGGUAAAAGAGGAUAAAAAUACCCUUGAGGCAUACUGAGAUUCCUACGCGCGAGCAGCGGGCAAUCAUCCCUAAACCAAGUCAAAAGUGCCCAAAAUAGGUAACAAUUUAAAGCCUAUUUCAUCAAAUCCUUUCUAUAAGGUAAUUCCUAAAACCUAAUUUAUUCUAUAUAUUUUGUAUUCCAUUAUUUAGCUAAUCAAUUAGCUAAAUGAUAUUUUCCUUUCAUAUUCCCUAAAAAUUGAUUAAUUAAGGGAUUAAUUACCUAAUCAAUCCCUUAAUUAUCAAAUAAAACACCCAUUCACACCUAAAACUACUAAAAGGCCGGCCACCUCCCUUUUCCUAACCUUUUUCACCUUUCUCCAUUUUAUUACCCCAUUUAUACAAAUAAUCAAUUUUGUAACUCCUAAUUAAACCCAAAAAACCCUAGCCACCUCCUAUCCCUAUAAAUAUACUCUCAUUCCCACCAAAAAAGCCAAUUCCAAUUCUCUUACAAAAAAUCCCAAAUACUCUAAACACUAUUUCUCUCUAAAAUUCUAACUUUGGCAUCGAAGGUUCUUCAACCAAAGCCCCCUUCAUUCAUCGUGGGCGCGUGAGGCUUUUGGCCUUAAUCUAAGGUGCUAGUUGUUUUGUAGGUGCAAAAUCGUCCAAGAUCGAGGAGGAGAAAAUUUGCAUCCACAAAUUGGUGCUUUCAUUGAGAGUUGAAAUCCAUACUCGUAGAAGACUCUCGCACAAAAAUGUUUUUUCUUUAUUUUCUAGUCCAUUGAAUAUUUUUCAUACGUUCUUAUUAUUAGAAUUUUUUACUUGUAAAGGUUCUUUGAUAAAACGUAUAAGCAAAAUAUAAUGGCUAGAAAUUUAGAAAAUUCCACAAGUGAAAAUUCU